rnacentral:rRNA from 1 species
UACGUAGGGCGCAAGCGUUAUCCGGAAUUAUUGGGCGUAAAGAGCUCGUAGGCGGUUUGUCGCGUCUGCCGUGAAAGUCCGGGGCUCAACUCCGGAUCUGCGGUGGGUACGGGCAGACUAGAGUGCAGUAGGGGAAACUGGAAUUCCUGGUGUAGCGGUGAAAUGCGCAGAUAUCAGGAGGAACACCGAUGGCGAAGGCAGGUCUCUGGGCUGUAACUGACGCUGAGGAGCGAAAGCAUGGGGAGCGAACAGG